GAAUGUGGAAACGCCAUCAAAGCUUUGAGAAGCAAGAAGAAGCUUGGUUAAUGUUUUGGUAUCUAAUA
rnacentral:sRNA from 1 species